GAGGGCAGACACGAAGAAUGGCCUUGCACAAAAGUUCCAUUGUGAUCAUGUAAAAACAAAGCAGCCGCGACCUUUUCACCCCUCAACUCUCCUCUUUUGCUCAGGCUCACAAUUAAACGGUCAUUACCUAAGAAAUGCCCCACUCCAGAAUAAGUACAUCAGCGUGCAGAUGUAUAAAGAACAAUACAAAGCAACACAUUUGAUAAGAAACCAGGUGGUAGGCAUCUGCUGUUGUGACGAGCCGGCAGUGCGGUAUGCUGGAGCGUUUGGUUGGUAAUGCUCGAAUGUGGCCGAUAACAGUGUUAGGAUCCGCCUCUGAUUGACAAGCAGCACAGCAGCCUGGCCAGCACAUUGGAGAGAACUCUGAAUGAAGCAAAUGCGACGUGAAAACUUCCGAGGAAUGCAAGGAACGGUUUCGUUGGGCUCUUGAAAGCAUCGGCUCGAGAAGAUGAUGACUACUGCCUCCAACUGCAGGGUGAAGGUUUGAGGGCCAUUCAUUCAACCUGAUCUGAGCUCACUUCAAUCAUUUUCUCUUUGAAUGGAUUACAAGGCAAGACUCCUGGAUAACAGGAAAACGUAUUGCUAUUGAUUGAGUAUCAACCUUUCUCCCUUAUA